UUAGCCGUUGGAUUUAGGUCUCUCCUAUAUAAACCAGUUCAUACAAACUUUGAAUUCAAACGAAUUUUUGUUUUGAACGGUGGAAUAAGGGUUUUUAGGGCUUGGAUUUUGAUCAACUGUAGCCAUGUCGUUAACAAGGGUGGUAAUCCCGCUAUGGAAAAAUUUGAUGGUUCUGACAAUGGAAAUGUAGAAACACAUCUGAUACUUUUCUUAAUGUGGCCAAUGGCCAUCGUGAUAUUGUUCCAAAUGAGUUGAUGUGACCUUGCUACUAGACUUGAAUUGUCAACUAUAAAUCGUAUAGAUAUAAUUUGCAUUAUCACAGUAUGGGCACUCACCGAUUGGAAGAAACAAGGAUUUAAUUCAUAAUUUGUUCACAGAUUGAAAGAAACAAGGAUUUAUUUUCUUGUCCUCCUCCACGAUAAAGUGAAGGAGGACAAGAUGAUGGUGACGAAGACUUGUCUAAUAGCUCUCUAACUGAUUACCACCCAGAGGAGUAUGAGGAGCUUACUGCCAUUGAAUCUAAAGACAGUGAGGCAUCUUUUGGUGGUUAUAACAAUAGCUCCAUCCCACUAAUGCAGGAGGGUUAUAAAGAUAAUGGGGCCGAGGAUAAGGACAGGGGUCGCCGCUGUGAAGGUAUUCACUCCCGUAAAGCUGAUUGCAAGCCUGAAUUGCUAUCUGAAAGUGAGUCAUUCUAUUGUGAGUAUAGCGUCAUCCCAGAUGAAGAGUAUAGCAACAUCCCAAACACGGAGGAUUGGAUUGGUUCUUUGGUCUUUAAAAAAUGGCAAGGAGCGGAAGGGGUAUGACUAUCUAAACAUUUAUGGUUUUUACAAUAAGAAAAGUAGAAUGGGUGGUUACGGUGUUAUUUGUGGGAUCCUUGUGGAAAGCCAGUAAUUGCAUCUGCUUCUGUUCAACCAGGAGGAGUUUCUGAUUACUAUCAUGUGUUGUAUGGGGUGGAUGCUGGCCUUGCACUUGCAUUGAAACAUGGAAUAUAUGAUCUUUCAUUGGACUGAUGUGCAACUCCUCAAUUCAUUGUUACCUUCGUCAGAUUUUUCAGCGAGCUGAUGGUUGUUUUCCUCAACAAGGGUUUUGUGGUUAUCUUUUUGCUCCUCAAGAGGAUUAUAGAUAAGAGCUCUCAGAUAAUGUGCAAAUCUCGUACUUUUGCUGUUAACACUGUUAGGUCAAGCUCAAAUGAAGCUGCGAUUCUUCUGGCAAGACAGCUUGCAAAGAAGUCUAGGCUAUCAGGUAAACCCAAGACUGAAACCAUUAAACCAGAUGAAUGUGAGGAUGAUCUUAAAAUGAUUUUUUAUGGAGAUGCUUAUAAAGGUUCACGGUUUUACCAAGAACAGCAGCAUUGGG